UGUUCUUCAUUAUUAGGCUUUAGCAUUGACCAACCAUCUUUUACCAUGAAAAAUAAUAUGUGAUAUGCUCUUGAGAUAGGUUGUGCAAGUGCAUGCGUUGACAAAUAAUGUUUUAAGCAAACAUCACUACCGUUGAAGCGCUAGCAAAAAAACACAAUAUAUGUUUUAUCCCAAUUGAAGGUAUAUCCCUCUUUGCCACUAGCCUUUGUCUAAUAUUUUAGUUCAUGAAUUCGGUAGCAACACUCCUAGUAGGCUUCGGUUAGAUUGCUUUAGAUAGCCUAAUGAAUACUACAAGUCACAUCAUGGCACUUGGAAUCAGCUAGUGGAAGUAUAUGUCAUACGUUUUUAGCACCUUCGUCCCCUGACCCUCAUUUUGUUAACCUUUGGCUCAACAGAACAAGGGAUGUACAAUGGAGAAAAUCUUUGGCUGGCAAACAACUUCGUCGGACUGCUUUGUCUCAUCGGUGGAGAUUUGAAAGUGGAUAUCACAAAUGGAGUUGGCAAGCGAUUCUUUGAUGAUGACUUGAAUGCGGUAGCAAAAGAAUGAUUGACGAGACUUCUGGCUAAGAACGACAUCGAGAACAAAUCUCAUCUAAGGGAAGAUGUGCAUGGCACAUCAAUGUAGUCAAAGGAUGAAACCAUACACCCUUGAAUAUGAAACAUUUGUAUGUUAGAGAGAAGGGUAAAAAUAUAAAUGUACAUAAGAUUGUAUAGGAACUCAACCCUUAUAUAUAGUUGAACAGUGUGAUCGUGUGAACGGUCGGCCACACGAGGAACUCAUGCUCAGCAUUUGCUUGAGCCAAAAGAGAGCCUAUGAAGGUAUCAUUUUUUGCUAAAGUUAUCACCUUUAUUUGUGCAUGAAUUCCAUUAUUUGUUUGUUUGUUUGUUUUGAGCCCUUACUUUGUCUUAAUACAAUCAGUUGUUCUCGUUUUACUGUUUGACCCAAAGGUCAUUAUAUCACAUAAGAAUAUUUAAGGGAGACAAAGUAAGAACCAUUAAUUGCAUUCAUCAAUCAUUGACAAGGGUAAAAGAUGCUUAAUCGACCUCUCCAACCAAAGCAGAGGAAUAAUAGAGUAACUGUGUUUCCCUAUUAUUGUUCUUUCAUAAUUUCAACUAAUCCUGAAAUUACCAUUGGAAAAGAAAUAGUAGUGUAACUUGAUUGAAAGUGGCUAGAAAAAAUUCUCUUCAAACAUAGGCAAAACAUUCCAAAUACUAUAGUACCAAUACACACACUAUUGACACACAUAUGUCAUGCUCACUAAUGUUUGCCAUCAUACUUGACUUUUGAUUUGAGGAUGUUGUCACAUCUAUGAAGGAUCCAAGAGAUUCACAACGUGUGCCUCAUCUGAAAAGUAGGAAAAAUAUCAUCCACAGAUUAAAGGCAUUUG
rnacentral:lncRNA from 7 species